UAAAUAUCUGAUCCUCCUGCCUCCACCU
rnacentral:piRNA from 1 species